GGAAGCGUGGCAGAGCGGUUGAAUGCACCGGUCUUGAAAACCGGCGAUGGGAGACCAUCCGUGAGUUCGAAUCUCACCGCUUCCGCCA
rnacentral:tRNA from 1 species